CCUAGAACUCACCAACAAGAUGAUUGAGCUGCUGACUGGAGAGGUUCCUAUAAGGUGUCAGGACGUCACCGUCUAUUUCUCCAUCUCGGAGUGGGAGUAUUUAGAAGGACACAAGGAUCUGUACAAGGACAUCUUGUUGGAGGAUCACUGGCCCCUCACAUCACCAGUUAAGGAAGAGAGAAGAACACCGGAGAGAUGUCCCAGUCCU